rnacentral:tRNA from 1 species
GCCUGGGUAGCUCAGUCGGUUGAGCGUCUGACUUCAGCUCAAGUCAUGAUCUCGCAGUUUGUGGGUUCGAGCCCCACAUUGGGCU